GACCUCGCCCCGGUCGCCUUCAGAGAGAAAGGGCGCGAACGAUGAUGCGGGAAGCAAAAACGGCGGGAAGCAAAAACGGCGGGAAAAACGAGCGGCGUUCCGGGCUCCUAUUGGCUGGCGGGCGGCGGGGACACCUAUAUAAGACACUCGGGCGCAACAGGUGUGUGCCUCAGCGUGUGAGAAGAAUCUGCGUGCUCUGAGAGGAAGGCGACAAGCAGCAUCCACGGACCCAGCUGCGGCGGAGCUGCAGCAUGUGGGGUCCCAGCUAAGCAGAGAAGGUUCCCCUUUGGUCGCUGCGUUUGGUGUGCCCAGCUCCAUUUGCCCAGUCUGCCCGCCUCUGUGACCCUCCGCAGCACCGGCUGGAGCUCCGCAGCGCAUUGGCAUGGGAGCGGCUGCAGAAGAAAGAAGAAGCAGUGAGUGGGACUCCGGGAGGCAACAGCGAGCAAGAGGAGGAAGGGGAAGCCUGUGCAUGGGGGCGAAAGAGAGAGGCUCUCUGGGCAAAAGCACCUCCCUGUCAGCAGGGGCACAGUCACAUUUCGGUAGAGCGCUGCCGGCACCUUGGGUGACCAGGCCGGCUUUGUGCUGGGCGACCUCCCUGUAAGCAGGGCUCGGGUCUUUGCUGUAGUUGGCCUUUUGCCUUGUUGCUCCUUUGGCUGCCUGGGGAGCGUGGCCCCCCGUACAGAGGGCAAGAGCCACCUCCCCGCACCCGAGUGGGAAAUGGAGCUCGCUGGACCCCAA